CCCCCCAUAGCUUAAUGGCAAAGCACCGGUCUCUUAAACCGUGUAUCUAGGUUCGAUUCCUAGUGGGGGGACAA
rnacentral:tRNA from 2 species